rnacentral:lncRNA from 1 species
CCUGAAUCAGGUGUGUUUGAUUAAGGAGACAUGCAAAAUGUGCAGUGUUGGGGUGCCUCCAGGACCAGGGUUGGGAACCACUGCUCUAAAGUACUAAACAGGUUUCUCUCAGCCGAUGGGACUCCAGUGGAACCUGCGGCUGCUCUGAGCGUCUUCCUACAGUCAGAGCUUUUAACCCGUCGGAUGGCGGUUAGCGGUGGCCGCAGGUGCUCCCUUUACCUGCACGAAAAACUGGCUGAGCACUCCAGCAAUCCUCAAACACACACACACACACAAUACCCAGACAUCCUUUUGUUCUUCAACACACAGUGAGCUCUGGCGGAGAUAUAAACCUGUCUGUAUCCUAAAAUGAACUGUCUCUCUUUGUCUCUCUCAUAUUAAAAAAUAAAUAAAAAUCAUUCAAUUUCUGUUGUGAAUGAGUGUCCA